CAACAUUCAUGGGUUUAAAGAGUCUACGUUUUUGUGCUAUUAUGUUUUAAGAAACUGGAAACACAGUGCCAAUUGCUUUGAGUUGCUGUUAAGGAUGAUGUUCAUUUGAUAAAUUCACUGAUAAUCUUUUCAAAAUAAUAGACUUUGCUUCCUACAACUUUUUAUACAUGAUUUAAAAAGUGCAUUCUCAGAAGCUGCAGGUCAGAUUCCUUUAGCGAUGAGAGCUGAAGAUUUUUUAAAACUGUGUAAGCUUCCUCGGUGCUGUUCAUCUGAUGUGGAAAUUUUUUCACUUCUCAUUUUCACGAGUAAAUACACAUAAAUAGAGGAAAGGAUUCUUCUGGGAGUGUUGCUGUUUAUGUCUAGAUGUGUCACCUGACUGGAGACCAGAGACUUUCUCACCAAAGGCUUUCAGAAACCCUACUUGGUCCUCACUGGGUUGAGAGAUGCCUUCACUAUGGUUGACCUCUGUGCACUGCUAUUCCCCCCACAUUGUCUCCUUCUGCCUUUUUAAGAUUAUUUGCUUAUUUAUAAUAAUUUUGGCCAGAAGUUUACUACCAUUGGUGCUUCCUGUUACCCUGCAAAGGGAAUUCCAGAGCCUGUAUGCAUUUACGCUGCCUAGGUCUUUUUCUCCUUUGAUUGCCUUUCUAAAGAGCAUCUCAUUUUGGUGUACAUUCAUGUCCUACCCCUCUUGAA
rnacentral:lncRNA from 1 species